CAGGCGUCUGGGGGUAGGUUGCCAUCAACCCCACUGAUGAGUCUAGGCAGUGACUCCGAAACGAAACGCAUG
rnacentral:hammerhead_ribozyme from 17 species